GUGCUUGCUUCGGUACCACAUGUACCAAAAUUGGAACAAUACAGAGAAGAUCAGCAUGUCCCCCGCGCAAGGAUGACACGCAAAUUCGUGAAGCAUUCCAUAUUUUU
ensembl:snRNA U6 U6 spliceosomal RNA